UGGGGAUGACGUCAAGUCAUCAUCGGCCCUUACGGCCUGGGCUACACACGUGCUACAAUGGUCGGUACAAAGGGUUGCCAAGCCGCGAGGUGGAGCUAAUCCCAUAAAACCGAUCGUAGUCCGGAUCGCAGUCUGCAACUCGACUGCGUGAAGUCGGAAUCGCUAGUAAUCGUGAAAUCAGAAUGUCACGGUGAAUACGUUCCCGGGCCUU
rnacentral:rRNA from 1 species